rnacentral:rRNA from 1 species
GACGAACGCUGGCGGCGUGCUUAACACAUGCAAGUCGAACGACAAAGCGCCGGCUUGCUGGUGUGGAUUAGUGGCGAACGGGUGAGUAACACGUGAGUAACCUGCCCCCUACUCUGGGAUAAGCCUGGGAAACUGGGUCUAAUACAGGAUAUGAGCAAUCGCUGCAUGGUGAGUUGGGGGAAAGUUUUUUUGGUGGGGGAUGGACUCGCGGCUUAUCAGCUUGUUGGGGGGGUAAUGGCCUACCAAGGCGACGACGGGUAGCCGGCCUGAGAGGGCGACCGGCCACACUGGGACUGCGACACGGCGCAGACUCCUACGGGAGGCAGCAGUGGGGAAUAUUGCACAAUGGGCGAAAGCCUGAUGCAGCGACGCCGCGUGAGGGAUGACGGCCUUCGGGUUGUAAACCUCUUUCGCCUGGGACGAAGCUAACGUGACGGUACCUGGAGAAGAAGCACCGGCUAACUACGUG